rnacentral:misc_RNA from 1 species
GGCCUCCAUUUCGUUGUGCUGUUGAUGAUGGGAAUUCACUAACACUGCGCCCUGUGUUCCUCUGAACACCUGCUUCAGCUUCAAGCAGAAUGAUCUUUACUUCCAGGCCUCCUUGGACAGUGCUCUAAAGCAUCCAAUGCUGUAAAUCCAUUCCUGUUCAAGGCAGUUACGUUUUCCUUGAUGGUCGUCUCCAAAAGCAAGUAUUUUGUAAUCUGUACUUGUU